UUGACGGGGAGCACCACAACAGGUGAGCCUGCGGUUUAAUCGGACUCAACGCCGGGAAACUCACCAGAUAAGACAGCUGAAUGAUAGUCGGGCUGAAGACUCUACUUGACUAGCUGAGAGGAGGUGCAUGGCCGUCGUCAGUUCGUACUGUGAAGCAUCCUGUUAAGUCAGGCAACGAGCGAGACCCACGCCAACAGUUGCCAGCUCGCCCUCCGGGGUGAUGGGUACACUGUGGAGACCGCCGCUGCUAAAGCGGAGGAAGGAGUGGGCAACGGUGGGUCAGUAUGCCCCGAAUCUCCCGGGCUACACGCGGGCUACAAUGGUUGGUACAAUGGGCAUCUACCCCGAAAGGGGAAGGAAAUCUCUUAAAGCCAAUCGUAGUUCGGAUUGAGGGCUGCAACUCGCCCUCAUGAAGCUGGAAUCCGUAGUAAUCGCGUUUCAACAGAACGCGGUGAAUACGUCCCUGCUCCUU
rnacentral:rRNA from 1 species